rnacentral:rRNA from 1 species
CCUACGGGAGGCAGCAGUGGGGAAUAUUGCACAAUGGGGGAAACCCUGAUGCAGCGACGCCGCGUGAGUGAAGAAGUAUCUCGGUACGUAAAGCUCUAUCAGCAGGGAAGAAAAUGACGGUACCUGACUAAGAAGCCCCGGCUAACUACGUGCCAGCAGCCGCGGUAAUGCGUAGGGGGCAAGCGUUCUCCGGAUUUACUGGGUGUAAAGGGAGCUUAGACGGCAGCACAAGUCUGGAGGGAAAUCCCGGGGCUUAACCCCGGAACUGCUUUGGAAACUGUGCGGCUGGAUGGAAGGAGGGGUAAGCGGAAUUCCUAGGGUAGCGGUGAAAUGCGUAGAUAUUAGGAGGAACACCGGUGGCGAAGGCGGCUUACUGGACUGUAACUGACGUUGAGGCUCGAAAGCGUGGGGAGCAAACAGGAUUAGAUACCCGGGUAGUC